rnacentral:lncRNA from 1 species
UGUUUGGGGCGAAGCUGGGCGCGCGGCGCUCGAAGCACUCACUCGGCGGGUUUCGUGGUUGGUGGAGACAGCAAGGGCACCCCGCAGACCGCACCCCUCGAGCUAUAGGUUCGCAGGCCCGACUCGACGGCGUCCCUAUUGCUGGCCCAGCCUAUGGUCAUUGGGGGCCAUUUCUUGCAGAGAUGCCCAGCUCCCUGAAGCGCUCGCUCUUCUCCAGAGUUGGCCAAAGAUAUCAUCUCUUCUUUUGAUCACUGUUCCUGAUUGUGACAUUGUGCAAGUGUUAAAUUGUGUGCCUUUUGUUCCUGAAGAAAGAGGUCCUGGGAUCUUUGAAAUCCUAAGAUUCUUGGAUACCACAGUAUCAUAAAAUUCCUCUAAAUGCAUUGGUGCUAACAAUCCCCUACUCUGGCCUCUGGACCUAGCUUGAAGUUCUGGAUUAAUUUCCUUCUUCCUUGUACCUCAGCCUGAGCCUUCUGUCACCCAAAGGGCUCCAGCUUUUUUUCACUCAGGCCUCACUUGAUCUUCCAAGAUGAAGGAACUAAGACACAGAGGUUGAGACUUGUCUAAAGUAACAUGACCAGUAAGUGCUUGAAUUAAUGCAGAUGAGGAAACUGAGGUCCAGAGAAGUUGAAGCUUUCCCAAGGUCACACAGCAGAGCUGGAACUAGAGCUUGCAUUUCCUGACUUCCAGAUUAGUGUUAUUUUUACUUCAAACUGUUACUUCUUGGUGAGUUAUUGUGGGAAAAAUCCUGUAUUUUGAAGA